GCGAUCAACAAACAGGUUGUGCAGCAGUCAGCCAACUACAAGCCAGCAGCUAGAGUAAACAAGGAUGUCCGGCCGCAGCCUUCAAAGUAAAGGUGGUGUAUGUUGGGAUUACAUCUGUGACACCCCAGUUCCAGUCACUGCAGGACAUGUAAGUACACAUUCUACAUAAAAAAAAACAAGGUGAGGCAAAUGUGUAUGGAAGAAAAUGUUUUUCUUUUUAUUAUAAAGACAAGAAUUGAGAAAAAAAUUGAGAUUUGCAGAACAUACUGUGCGGUUUCUAAAAACAGCUUGAGCCCAUUUGUCCAGUUCCCAAAUUUAUGAGGAUAAACAGGGUCUCAGACCUGUAGUUAG